rnacentral:lncRNA from 1 species
AGCUGGCCUUGAAUUCCAGGGAUGCGGGAGGACAAUGAGCAUGAACGAAACGUGCCGAGUGGAGUUGAGAACGUAAAGGAAGAAGGGGGCGAUGAGGACCUCUCCUGGGGAGAUGAGGGCUGCCAAGUCCUAAGACACAGGCUCAGGGUCUGCAGGAAGGUCGGCUUGUUGGAUCGUCUCUGUGCGCUGACUUCUCUUUGCUCCCCAGGGCCUCUACCCGCUGCCCUUGCUCAACAGCACCCUGGACGACGGGAAGGCCACCCUGACCCCUUCCAACACGCCACUGGGGCGCAACCUCUCGACUCACCAGACCUACCCCGUGGUGGCAGAUCCUCACUCACCCUUCGCCAUAAAGCAGGAAACCCCCGAGGUGUCCAGUUCUAGCUCCACCCCUUCCUCUUUAUCUAGCUCCGCCUUUUUGGAUCUGCAGCAAGUCGGCUCCGGGGUCCCGCCCUUCAAUGCCUUUCCCCAUGCUGCCUCCGUGUACGGGCAGUUCACGGGCCAGGCCCUCCUCUCAGGUACGACAGGGAGGUCCCGGGGCCAUGCAGCUAUGGCGGCGGGUGGGAC